UUAAUUUUGAGACCUUUGACACUGUGGCCAGUGUGGUCGAGGCCAUUGAUGCAGCUAUUUCAUCCGCUGUCAAGGACUUCAAUCUACUCGACGGUAACAAUGACGUCACUCACCCCGAUCCCCCGCUGAUCGAUCUCACUCAAGACAGCGAAGAAGAG